rnacentral:rRNA from 1 species
GACGUGGGGGGCCAGCGUUGCUCGGAAUUACUGGGUGUAAAGGGUCCGUAGGCGGUGUGGCAAGUCGGGAGUGAAAUCUCUGGGCUUAACCCAGAGGCUGCUUUCAAAACUGCCGUGCUCGAGUGCGAGAGAGGUCAGUGGAAUUGCAGGUGUAGCGGUGAAAUGCGUAGAUAUCUGCAGGAACACCCGAGGCGAAAGCGGCUCGCUGGAUCGCAACUGACGCUGAGGGACGAAAGCUAGGGGAGCAAACAGG